rnacentral:lncRNA from 1 species
GGCGAUUUAAGCAAAAAUUGCACCCUAAAGUGUUGCACUUAGGAAAACUUAUACAACUAAGGUGGUCCCUUCCACGUUAUAUAACAUCCACAAGCUUCACAAGGCAAUUUAUAAGGUACGUACACAAUGUGCACAUGGAAGCUAAUCAGUUUAAUAAUCACAAAGAUUCAGGACCAUCGUUAUUUGAUGGGGUUAAAAGGCAUUCAAUUUAUUUAUGUGGUCCAAAACUUCAAAUCAUUUAUUAUUCCUAACGGUUUUGAUCAAUACAUCUUGAGGUGAAUUUCACAAAAAUGGAAUGGACCAUCAUAUAUUUUUCCCUGAUUUUUUUAGACCUUUACUGUUUCUUUAAAAUUCAAUUGGUGGUUCUCAAUUAUUUUUCUGGUAUACAUAGAUUGAAUUGAAUGGUGGCUGGAGAGAGUCAGCAUCAAGUUUUAGUCAACGAAAAGGUCACCCAUCAAUAAUCCAAAUUAUGCGAUUAGGGUAAAGAUCAAAUGAUUGGUAUUCCCUGGAAUGUUUGUCAAGGAAAAAUCACCAGCUUACACAAAACCACUGGAUAUUCUUUUUUUUGAAAGGAACACAAGAAGAUAGACAUACGAAAAUUGACAAAACGAAAUUCUCACAAAAACUUAGUCGUGGUACAUAUCCUUGUACUUUGCAUAGAUAGAUAUCUUGUUGGUUUAUGCACGACUAAAUAGGUGGAAGAGUUUUUUUUUUUUUUUUUUUUUUUUUUUUUUUUUUUUAAAAAAACGAAAUAGGUGGAAGAGUUGUGCAUACUUAAUGCCGUAUAAUAACUACCAAUUGUCACACAAAAAAAAGUCAUAUAUUUGAAUAGAGGAAACAUAUGAGAAACCUAAAAAAAACUCAAUUUAUUCUCUAACUUUUCUAAAUGAUAAAUAUUUGUUGUUAAUUACUAUAACUUUUUUUAAAUUGCGAAAUGUUAAUCAUAUCCGUCUAUUUUUUAGGCUUAAAUGCAGUUUUAUCCCUCCUAUUUUGAUUGAAUUUGGAUUUUACCCCCUAUUUUAAAACUCGGAAUAUUAUCCCCUCUAUUUUGAUUGAAUCUGGAUUUUUCCCCCCUUAUUUAAAACUCGGAAUUUUACCCCCUAUAUUUUACGUUUUUCAGGAUUUUUCCCCCCUAUUUUAAAAUAAAGAACCAAAAAAUACUAGAAAAAUAAAGAAACGAUUAGAAAAUAUAAAUUCGGUAAAAAAAAUAAAAAGAAAAACAAUGAAAAUACAAGAAAAAAAUUCAUGACAAAACUAGUUUGCACCUCUAAAUAUUUGCUAUUUUUAUACUAGUUUUUGUUUUAUUUUUAGAGAUCAUACUAGUUGUAUGCAUUUUUUAUACUAUUUUCUAUUCAUUUUUUUUAGUAUUUUUCUGAUUUUAUUUUUUAAUAUUUUUUCAUUAAAAAAAUAAAUAAUAAAAAACACUUAAUAUAAAUAAUUAAUUAUGUCGAUAAAAGAGGGGGGAGGGGGCAAAAUCCUAAAAACAUAAAAUAGGAGGGAUAAAAUUUCAAGUUUUAAAAUAGGGAAGACAAAAUCCAAAAUCAAUCAAAAUACGAAGGGUAAAAUUCCAAAUUUUAAAAUAAGAGAAGCAAAAUCCAAAUUCAAUCAAAAUAGGAGGGUAAAACUGUACUUACACUUUUUUUUAUUUGUUAUCAAAUAAUACAUUAAUGACACUAUAUAUUUAGUUCAAAUCCAUCUUCAAUAUUGCCAACACAUAGUCUUGCAAUUAAUACCAACAAAUAGACAAACUUCUUCAAAAAUAUAAAAAAAAAAUAAACAAAUAGUCAAACUUGAUUUAUAAUUUGGAAUUUUUUUUUUAAAUAUUACUGAUAAUGUGGGGACCAUGUUAAUAUCAAAGUAAUUAAAAUUGGAACAGGCUAGCCAGUUCAACUAAUUGAAUAGAUAACUGAAUUUAUGUUUGGUCAAAUUGACACCUUUGAUCAAUCUACAGUAGAACUAGAUUAAAACAUGGUAAAUCGGAUGAAAAUUAAUGGUUACACCGGUUAAAUAUGAUGGAAAAAAAAUCAUCAAUCUCACUUUUUUAAUUCAAUCAAAAAUAUAAAUAAAAAAUAUUAAAAUAAAAAAGACACGGCCUCUUGCAUGUAUUGGAUGAAAUAUGUGUCACACUUGAAGGCUUCAACCACAUAGGUAAUUUAAGUUUUGUAAAGUACAAUCUUCGAUUAACCAAGUUGUUUGAGCUCUAGUGGCAAGAAGCUCCUUCGAAUGACGUAUUCGGAAAAUAUAGGGUUCGAUUUCUAGGGAGAACAACGCUUGGCCAGUGCGCAAAAGCCGGAUUAGUCGUCCACCAUUGAUAGGUUGGAAACCGGUGCGAAGGCAACAAAAAAAAGUACACUCUUCAAUUUAUAUCUCAUUUUCCAUGUUUUUUUUAAGGAAUCUCAUUUUCCAUAAAAGAUAAACCCGGACCCAACAUAAUUUAAAAAUUAGUGUAAAAUAUUUUAAAAACAUUUGAAUAAGAUGGUAAGAAUUUUUUCAACAUAAUCGAAGAUUCUUGAUUCGAAUUUCACCUUAAAAAUACUGUACAACUUUUCAAUAAAAAAAAAUAUAGUAGUGUUACAUUUCGAGAGUUUUGUUGUGUAUUAUAGACAUGCACGAUCAAUAGUAACUGGAGGUACAUGUUUAAACAUGCUCACAGCAGUUCUUCAAAUUAUUAUUUGAAUAUAUAAACUGAGGUGAGGCUAAUCUGGUGAUGUAGAACAAGAUGCCUUAACUAUAUGUUUCAUUCGUGUGAAUCAAAUCAAGAUGCACCUAAAAAAACUCUCCAACAUCCACACUUAUGUUUAUCCCUUCUCCACGAUGUCUUCGGUGUUUGAUUAAGGUGGAAAAAAUGAAGAAAAAGAAAAAAAAAAUGCAAAUUGCGGUGAGCGUGGAUCGAACACGCGACCUUCAGAUCUUCAGUCUGACGCUCUCCCAACUGAGCUAUCCCAGCUUGAUGUUCUGUUAAUUGAAAUGCAUUUACUUAACGCAUACCUGCUUUGAAUAUGAAAAAGAGAUAUCAGAAUAUUGAUGAAUAGCAUUUACGUGUUUGGAUAUACUUGAUGAAGUGGCUCAAUCCAGAUGCUCACAAGUCACAACUCUGAAAAAUAUGAGAGGUUAAACCCACGUCAUUGUGCAAUUAUGUCAAUCUAAAUCCAGAGCCUCACAUCAAUGACAAUGAGCCACCACAUAUUAUCCGAAAUAUUGAACAUAAUUAUUUGACUUAGCAUAAUUUGUACUAUUUUGGGUUUAGGGAAAGAAGUGGUGCAAAAAGAAAUAUUGUUAGUGUGGUCCAUAAUAUCUACUUUACAAAUGACACUGUUAUUUGACUUCCGAUUUUGCUAAUACCCUCAUAAGUCUUUUCAAAUUUUUCCAAAAAUAUCAAAAAGGUGUGUAUGGUCAACAUUUUUUGUUGUAUAUAUGAUUUUCUUUUUCCUGAUUUCAUGUCAAAUUGUCACUUGAUUCAGGCCUUGUAUGGCUGGGUUUUAAGGAACACCAUGCAAACCAUGUUGGCUUUUAAUUAGGCAAGUCUAUCUGGAAAUGUGUAGCUGAACCGUGAACAGAUGAAUUUAAUAUGUUG